AACGCACAUUGCGCCCCUUGGUAUUCCGAGGGGCAUGCCUGUUCGAGCGUCAUUUCAAACCUCAAGCUCACGCUUGGUGUUGGGCGUCGUCCGCUAGGACGUGCCCGAAACCCGUAGGCAGCGGUGCCCGUCUCCCAGCGUAGUCAAGUUACCCGCUUGCGAGCGCGCGGUGCCGCCCGCCGGACGAACAACCACUUCUUUCUAUGGUUUGACCUCGGAUCAGGUAGGGAUACCCGCUGAACUUAA
rnacentral:misc_RNA from 1 species